AUGCUAAUAAUUUUGAGCAUCGAAAUGUAUUUCCACCAUGCGGGGAGAGAGAGAAGCAAGAACAUCUUCAGAACUAACCGAGAUUUAGUCUCAGAGGUGGUCGCCACUGUUGGGGGAGCCGGAGGUAGGCGGAAGAUGGCGGGGCCGGUAGGGAAGGUGCUGCGCGAGCAAGGGUGGGUUGGAGAAAUAGCCGCGCCGUUCCUGUUGCAGCAGCAGUCAGCAGGCAGGGGCGCAGACGGCGAGCACUGCAACUCCGGCAAUGUCGGGGGGCGAGGUUACCACAAAUGCGAGAAGGAGCCCAUGUUUCUGACGAGGCUUGCUUGA
rnacentral:rRNA from 1 species